rnacentral:rRNA from 1 species
AGUCAACGCUGGCGGCGUGCCUAACACAUGCAAGUCGAACGCGAAAGUCCCGCAAGGGAUUAGUAGAGUGGCAAACGGGUGAGUAACACGUGGGUGACCUGCCUUCGAGUGGGGGAUAACGUCCCGAAAGGGACGCUAAUACCGCAUGACAUCCUGUCUUUGAAAAGGUGGAGCUUAAAGCCGGGGAUCGCAAGACCUGGCGCUUGAAGAGGGGCCCGCGCCUGAUUAGCUAGUUGGNGAGGUAACGGCUCACCAAGGCAUCGAUCAGUAUCCGGCCUGAGAGGGCGGACGGACACACUGGGACUGAGACACGGCCCAGACUCCUACGGGAGGCAGCAGUGGGGAAUUGUUCGCAAUGGGCGCAAGCCUGACGACGCAACGCCGCGUGGAGGAUGAA